UACCACCAGUAUCUCCCCACUAAACCAAACGCUAGCCCACAUUUUAGUUUUAAAUUCAGAUUCUAAACCAUCUUGUGUCCGGAUCUAAAUACCACUUCUUUGUUUUAACUUUAGCCCGUAAUGUAACCUACUAAUGCAAAAAAUACUCCCCAAACCUUCCAACCUCCUCUUUUGGCAUGCCAAAAUUGAUACUGUUCUUGAAGUAGUAAGACCUGGCUAGUUACAUCAUCACAGUGAAGCAGAGCUUCUCCAGCCGUGCCUUAUGACCACCCUGACAAUCAUAAAGUAUGAUUAAAUGCAACGAUUGAAGACAACAGCUUAGCUGAAGAGUGAAAAGCAAUGGUAGUUUAUAGCUUUAAACAUUACGGAUGUUUGCAGUAGACGGGGAUCUGUAAAUUGCUUUUAAUUUUUUGCUGGUGAAGCCUGUUGAAAAAUAUUCUGGUGCUGAAACAUAGUGAUGCCUUGUUUGUGUAGGUAAAUUUUACCUCCUAUUUACCCUCUACUCCAAAACUGUAAAGCUAGUUGUCAUUUGUCAACUCAACUACUGUGUUGAUUUGAGAAUGGUCUUUUGCACACACUGGGGAAAAAAACCCACCUAAAACACUUAGAUUGUAAGCUAAACUUGUGCCAGCACCUGUUUAAUGGCAGCAAUUCCUAGAGUAUUGCUUAUAGCUUGGGCAAAUUUUACUCAUUCCCUAUUAGUAUGUCUUUAGGUAGUAUUUCUUAGGAAAGACUUAAAGCCAGUUGAGCUAUUUCUGAGAGUCAUACCACAAAAUAACUUGUUUUUGUUAAUAUCACAAAAUUUCCUCUUGCUCUUCGAAUCUUCUUCAGAGUUUGCAGAAUCUGGAUAGCAAGCAUAAUGGCUAGAGGGGUUUCUAUUCUCUCUGCUUCUAGGAAGCCCUGGAAAUCUGGCUUUUUUGCCUUUUUGACAUGCUCCUCUGAGUUUGUUGUGAGACUGAUGACAAAAGUUAUAAAUGGUGCUGGUGCUGGAUAGGCCUGCUUCCACUGACUGCGGCCUACCACGCUUCGCUGAAUCCUGCCUUGCGUCUCCCACAUCCACGGGGACUGUUGUUCCAGGCUGUGGGUGUUGUUCCAGGCUGUGGGUGUUGUUCCAGGCUGUGGGUGUUCCUCCCAAUGGCUCUGCGCUGGAGUUGCAGUAAUCCAUAGCAGAAAUGUCCCUUUGGUUCCUAUUGCUUUCAGUGGUCUUGGAGCACUCUCUGUGGCAGCUGAGACAUUAUGAAAGAGAAGGAAGAGUCUGCUUUCUCAAAUACAGAGAAUUAAGACUGCAAGAGUGGCAGAAAAGAUGAAAGGGGUAUAGUUUAAUACAUGAGUGCAGAAAUACGCCUACCGACAUGGUCCACUUAUGUUGAAGUUCAUUUUGAAAUGUUCUGAAGUUACAAAGCAUACUAGGAACGAUGGCUUGUUUUAUUACCUUGUCUUCUUCAGGUGAAUCUUUUCUGAGGCAGUAGGAGAUGCUAUACAUGACCGUGGGGUAGUGGAACAUGUCAAAAUAGCUGGCUUUGCCUCAGGUCACGUAUGGUUAGCCUGGCAUACACAAAAACAUUGGAGCAGGUCCGGAGAAGGGUCUGGAUGGGAACCGUUAGGGCACAGCCUGGACCAGUGAUUGAGCACCUGGUGAAGAGGCCCUGGGAGCACAGGCGUGAGCAAUUCCACUCCUCCCUAACCUCUUUUAAGGGCUGGUAACCAAGGGGGAAACAUCUCUAUCCAGGGAUUGCUUCCUUCUGGGAGCUUUCAGCAAGCCCUUGCCUUUGAGAUAGGAUCAGGUGUAAGGAAGAAAUCCUUCACUACAAGGGCGGUGAGGCAGCGGCACAGGCUGCCCCGGGAAGCUGUGGACGUCCCAUCAGUGGAAGCCAUUCCAUGGUUCUGUGAGUUGAAGAUGAAACAGUGAUUUAGGUCUGCGUGUUUUACUCAGCAAAAAUUCAAACACUCAGCAAAGUUUUCAGUUACUUCAUCUUGGGGGGAAGAAAUACUGUUGCUGAUGACCGCCGAGCUCUGAUGAGCUGAGUUGAUUGUAUCUCUAAUUGGUUGGUGUGCUGCGUUCCCCUCCUUCAAAUGCAAACCUCACACAGGUAGAAGAGGAUUUGAAAUUACAGAUGUGGGAAUAAGAGGGAAUGUUAUGAGUUUAGUUAUGUAGCCUAGUGCCCAGGGUACUUACUGGAAGGAGGAAACCAUAAGCCGUACUUCCUGCCUUACUGAAUUCUUCUGUCUUCCAAUAAAUUAACUGGAAAAAUACAAAGCUCUUCCAAGAUCCACUUCCCAGGACUCUGAGCCUCCCUUCUGUGUUUCAAAGCUGUACAAGCAGUUUCCUGAUUUGCAUCAUGACUGAAGCCUCUAGUCUGAAAGAGCUAUUGGAACGGCAGCGGUGGAUUUACCUAGCCAACAAACUGAGCUGUCUCAAGCACAAUUAAUUAUGUCCUAGAUGUGUUAUUGUUGUUUUGAUAGACUCAUUCAAAACUUCUAGAGACAUCCAAAGAUCUUAAUCCUUUUAUUCCACGUAAAUUGAUAGAUUCUAUCUAGUCACAGUGCUCUGACUUUCAUUAAUUAAAACUUCUCACUGAAUUUAGUGAGCCACGAAUACUGGAUUCUGUUUUGCUCUGGUGCUAUUCACCGUGUCUGUUCUACUAGAUGCCUGAAAGUGCAAAUAGAUACCUCAGAAGGUUGUGAACCACAGGAAGAAAAUGAAGUAUUUGUUUCUGAGCUUUUGUGGUUGGGUUCUGUCAAGAUUGAACGCGAGUUGUUUGCUAUUUUAUGCUCAACAAAAAUAAACACCGUCAAAAAAAUAAAGAGCUAUAAAUAUGCUGUAACAGACAGUUAGCAAGCAUACAGCUGUCAAAGGCAGAUUUGAUAACCUGGAAUGAAUAGAUUCUGAAUGAAUCUUGCAGUGAAAUAAAAUGUAAAAGGUCACAUCAUGUUUCAGUAACUCACUAUUAACCCCUGAUGUAAGCAGAACCUCUGUGUUUAUACUGCACUGUCUUUUAUUGUUACUUCUGAAAUGCCAUGGUAGCUGCAGUCAUUUAGGCCUGAUGAUUUUUGUUCACUAAGUCUAGUUCUAAUGAUGAAGAAGUAUCAAUGCAGACAAUUCAGUGCUCUGUGCUCAAGGUGAUACUUGGCACAAGGGCAGGAAAAACUGCACAGCUUUCCUUCCUGCAGUCAGCAGAGCUACAAGCACUGGGUUACAGUCAUUUUGAUCAUAAACCAUCUCGGGAGUGGGGAGGCAACUCCUGGUGUUUCAUAUGAGGUCUUGUCUUCCUACAGUAUAGAACUGAUAUUAAAAAAAAAAAAAAAGUAAAAGGAAUUUUUUUUUCAAUAAAAUAGUACUAGAAGAGAAUUCUCUGCCGGGUCUCUUGCAAAGAUUAUUUCUUGCACUGUGGUAGCACUGUGACCACAUUCUCAUUUUACCAGAUAUUGCUCAAAUACCAGGAGACAGACAGCAAAGAUGAAAAGAAAACAAAGUCUGUAUAUUCAAGGGAUCUGGAAAGGUCAUUGAUAGAUGCUUUUGUUCUGGUUACUCUUCUGAAUU